rnacentral:lncRNA from 1 species
GCGGAUCUCAUCACCCUUCCUGCUGUAGCAGCAAGACUACGCGUACCAGAGAAGACUGAUAAGGUACUUGGUAGAAAGAAGAAUGAGUGGUGUGAGUUUCACCAGGCCUUUGGCCACACACUUCACUCCUGUUUGGCGUUGGGUCAUCAACUGGCAGAGUUGGUGAAGUCUGGGUUCCUAGGAGAUUACCUGCGUGAGCCGCAGGGUGAUCGCGCAUCGGGGUCCCAGACCGGAGAACAGCAGCAUGAAGUCCCUGUACAUGGGGAAGUGCAAACAAUC